rnacentral:rRNA from 1 species
CAGCCGCCACGGUAAUACGUAGGUGGCAAGCGUUGUCCGGAAUUAUUGGGCGUAAAGGGCUCGCAGGCGGUUUCUUAAGUCUGAUGUGAAAGCCCCCGGCUCAACCGGGGAGGGUCAUUGGAAACUGGGAAACUUGAGUGCAGAAGAGGAGAGUGGAAUUCCACGUGUAGCGGUGAGAUGCGUAGAGAUGUGGAGGAACACCAGUGGCGAAGGCGACUCUCUGGUCUGUAACUGACGCUGAGGAGCGAAAGCGUGGGGAGCGAACAGGAUUAGAUACCCGAGUAGUCCCUGUCUCUUAUAC